UACGGAGGGGGCUAGCGUUGUUCGGAAUUACUGGGCGUAAAGCGCACGUAGGCUGACAUUUAAGUGAGGGGUGAAAUCCCGAGGCUCAACCUCGGAACUGCCUUUCAUACUGGCAAUCUCGAGUCCGGAAGAGGUGAGUGGAAUUCCUAGUGUAGAGGUGAAAUUCGUAGAUAUUAGGAAGAACACCAGUGGCGAAGGCGGCUCACUGGUCCGGUACUGACGCUGAGGAGCGAAAGCGUGGGGAGCAAACAGG
rnacentral:rRNA from 1 species